rnacentral:rRNA from 1 species
GACGAACGCUGGCGGCGUGCUUAACACAUGCAAGUUGAACGGUGACGAUCAAGCUUGCUUGGUCUGAUCAGUGUCGAACGGGUGAGUAACACGUGAGUAACCUGCCCCUGACUCUGGGAUAACCCCGGGAAACCGGAGCUAAUACCGGAUAUGACACCAGCCUGCAUGGGCAUGGUGUGGAAAGUUUUUUCGGUCUGGGAUGGACUCGCGGCCUAUCAGCUUGUUGGUGAGGUAAUGGCUCACCAAGGCGACGACGGGUAGCCGGCCUGAGAGGGCGACCGGCCACACUGGGACUGAGACACGGCCCAGACUCCUACGGGAGGCAGC